GAUGAACGCUGGCGGCGUGCCUAACACAUGCAAGUCGAACGAAGCGACUGGAGGAAGUUUUCGGAUGGAAUCCGGUUGGCUGAGCGGCGGACGGGUGAGUAACGCGUGGAUAACCUGCCUCACACUGGGGGAUAACAGUUAGAAAUGGCUGCUAAUACCGCAUAAGCGCACAGUACCGCAUGGUACGGUGUGAAAGCCCAGGUGGUGUGAGAUGGAUCCGCGUCUGAUUAGCCAGUUGGCGGGUAACGCCACCAAGCGACGAUCAGUAGCCGACCUGAGAGGGUGACCGGGCACAUUGGGACUGAGACACGGGCCCAAACUCCUACGGGAGGCAG
rnacentral:rRNA from 1 species